rnacentral:tRNA from 1 species
AGCUCAGCGGUAGAGCAGUUGACUUUUAAUCAGUGGGUCGCAGGUUCGAAUCCUGCACGGC